rnacentral:lncRNA from 1 species
AUACUGGGUCACAUCUUUGUGAAUCUGCAGGUAAAUGCCUUUCCCAAGUGAAGAUUUUUCUGUUUCCAGAACUUCACUUCAGAGAGCUUUCCAUGCUUGAGUCAUGCAUUAGCUUGUGACAAGUUAUUUUUUAACAACUUUUCUUCCCGGCAGUCACCACCUGUGAUGAAAACACAGAGGAGGAAGUUACAUCCCAGCGGCUAAGAAUAAUAGCAAGCAGUCUUUUGAACUAUUUAGCUGGAGGAAAUGAUGAAAAGUUAUUGAGUCAUCAGAUGUAUUUCCCUCUGUUUUCUCAGGAGAUGUUUUCUACUUCCUGUGAGACAGACCCAGGAAAAUUUGCUGAAGAGCAGGCAAUUGGUGUGAGAUCUUCUGCAAACAUUCUUUCACUGAAGGAAGAAGAGAGCAAACAGCAUGAAGGAAGAGGGACCAAACAGCAGAGAUGGCACAUAGCUUGGGAGUUAGAAGAGGCUGCUGGAUAGGGUAAGCUCCACAUAGGUGAGAACUAUGAGAUGUCUGAUGUAUAUCCAGGAUCAGGGUUUACCUUGAGCCAGACAAUGAAGUUUGUUUUGGACACUUCCCCCUCUCGGUUACCCAAUCCUCCCUAUUACUUUCCUAUCCUCUUGUCUCCUGAUGUCCUCCAGAAAUAGACAUGUCUUCUCUACACAGUGGCCUGACCUCUGUAUUAGGGUCUUCUGGAGACUCAAAAGCCUUUGAGUCUAAAUGAUGUUCAGAUUCAGCGAAAGGGUGGACAUGGGUAAUUUUAAUCGCACGGCAAUCUUUCUAGGAGGACGUUCUGCUCAGGGUAGAUUUCCUGAGUACUUGAGCUUUGUGGGGUUCUAUUUUCAUAUCUUUUUAAAAUAGUAUAAAAUCUGAAGGGUUAGCCAAGCUGUACACAUUCUUAUUGUCAUAUCUUUUUAAAAUAGUACAAAAUCUGAAGGGUUGGCCAAGCUGUACACAUUCUGGGCAACCACAUUUAAUGAAACGAAUACUGAAAUUCUGUAAGCAGGACGUGCUCGCUUGAAGGUCAAUUCGUCACAUCUAACUGCAGAGGACAGCAGUUGUAAACUUAAGGUUUGGGGUUCAUAUCUGGGCUCAACAAAUACCUAGAUCUGUGCAUUUAGACACCUUAACUCUCUGUACCUUAGUUUACUUUUUUUAUGGUGAAAAAGACUAUCUUUUGCAUUUUCUGAUAGUAGUUAAAUCAGAAAAUGCUUAAGCAGCUCGGAGCACAGAGAUUGGGACAGAGCCCUCACUCAACAUUAGCUGUUAUUCUAUUGAUACUAUUGUUAUUACUACCCUAUGUUUUAGGAUUUGCAUUGUACAUAUAGUGAAAGUCCCAACCUAAUUCUAAAGUGGGAUUUCAAUGUGUUUGGACAUGAACUAGCCAGGCUGCUGCCAGGAGUCAGAGUCGACUUGAAUGAGAGUUUUCAGUGAAAUGAGAAUGGGAGGAUACUGCGUGCCGACAGAAUGAGGGGAGGAAGAGAGCCUGGCAUCUCUCCCAGAGAGUGGGUACCUAUCGUGGCCCUGCCCGACUGACUCGAUUCCAAGAAUUGAGAGCUGACCCCUACUGAGAGGGGGGCUGUACUCGAAAUCCCUGUGGCUUCUAAUGAGGUGCUGUUUUUACAGGUUUUUUUUUUUUUUUGAUGUAAAGUUAAAACAGUAGAGUUCACUUGGGAAUCUGACUGUAUUGUGGGAGGAUCUUUCUCCAUCCUUCUGUCUGGAAGAGCAGCUCCCACCCAGAGAGCACUGGGAGAGUGCGCUCCACACCUCCAGGCCAUUGGUCAGCUCACGGAGACGGCAUCACCACCACGAAGGCAGCCUCCUCCUCUGUGUGACUUCAGAGGUAAGACAGGCUUCACAAGGCUUCUUGGGCAAUAGCCACAGUGAUGAGGGGAUCCCAGCAGGAGAGCACAAAGAGAUGACUUGAGAAUUCCUACAAGACUCCACUGAGAUAACUAUGGAUGGUUCCUUGGUGGCGGGAGGGAUGGACUGGGG